rnacentral:rRNA from 1 species
AACGAACGCUGGCGGCAUGCCUAACACAUGCAAGUCGAACGGGAUCCUGGCUUGCUAGGUGAGAGUGGCGGACGGGUGAGUAACACGUGGGAAUCUGCCUUUUGGUUCGGGAUAACCGCGGGAAACUGCGGCUAAUACCGAAUGCCCUCGAGAGAGGAAAGAUUUAUCGCCAGAAGAGGAGCCCGCGUCCGAUUAGGUAGUUGGUGGGGCAAAGGCCUACCAAGCCGACGAUCGGUAGCUGGUCUGAGAGGAUGAUCAGCCACACUGGGACUGAGAUACGGCCCAGACUCCUACGGGAGGCAGCAGUGGGGAAUAUUGGACAAUGGGGGCAACCCUGAUCCAGCAAUGCCGCGUGAGUGAUGAAGGCCUUAGGGUUGUAAAGCUCUUUUACCCGGGAUGAUAAUGACAGUACCGGGAGAAUAAGCCCCGGCUAACUCCGUGCCAGCAGCCGCGGUAAU